CGCAGCUCCCACAAACCCUGAGCCUUUGUCGCCCUGCUACAGUAUGCCUCCUUCCACCCCUCCCCAACCCCGCCGUCGCCGAAACUUCCUCACCCAAUUGGAUGGCUUGCUCUCUGUCCAAUUUUUUCUAGAACUAGCGCCGUGUGGGUUGUAAUGUACCGGAUUUUUAAUAUAAAAUUAAAUGUAAAUAAAAAUAGUGUAAGAUACUAUUUUUAUUGGACUUAAAAAAGUAAAUAUAAGUCAAAAAUGACUUGUGCUGAAAUUGGAAUGAAAACAGAAGAUUUAGAAUUUUCUGUAAGAAACGGACUAAUCUUUUAGCAAAAAAUUUACAGCGUCAGAAAAUUAUGAAAAUUUGAAAAUAUGUCAGAAUUAUUUUUCUGAUGCUAGAUUUAAAGUUUCAUGUUAUUCCGACACCCAAAAAGUGAAAAAUAAAAUCUGACUGCUAUCUGCUAGAGAUUCUAGUUUGUAGACUUUUCGAUGAUCAAAAGUGGUUCAAAACUGAAAAGUUAAGAUCACGUUCUUCUAAUUGAUUUUAACCGAGUCUUACUGUCAAAUUUGAGCGCAAACGAACAUUUAGAAGGGCUCUAGCGAAAAGUAACAGAUCUGAACUGGACGAAAUUGUAAGUUGCAAUGGUUGGGGGGCCUAUGUG
rnacentral:lncRNA from 1 species